UGAACGCUGGCGGCGUGCUUAACACAUGCAAGUCGAACGGGAAACCUUUUAAUGAAGCUUCGGCAGAUUUAGCUGGUUUCUAGUGGCGGACGGGUGAGUAACGCGUGGGUAACCUGCCUUAUACAGGGGGAUAACAGUCAGAAAUGACUGCUAAUACCGCAUAAGCGCACAGGACCGCAUGGUCCGGUGUGAAAAACUCCGGUGGUAUAAGAUGGACCCGCGUUGGAUUAGCUUGUUGGUGGGGUAACGGCUCACCAAGGCGACGAUCCAUAGCCGGCCUGAGAGGGUGAACGGCCACAUUGGGACUGAGACACGGCCCAGACUCCUACGGGAGGCAGCAGUGGGGAAUAUUGCACAAUGGGGGAAACCCUGAUGAAGCGACGCCGCGUGAAGGAAGAAGUAUCUCGGUAUGUAAACUUCUAUCAGCAGGGAAGAUAGUGACGGUACCUGACUAAGAAGCCCCGGCUAACUACGUG
rnacentral:rRNA from 1 species